CCUUCUUCCAGGCUGACAGCCGGAGAAUUUGUUAGAGGUCCGGCUUCCUGCUAAAGCCUACUAGGAAAUCAGGGGGUGCGGCCGGAGCGAGCCUUGAAACUCAAACUGCCUCCGCUGGGCUGCAGCUCCCAGGAGUCAAGCUAAGAGGACGGGGUCCCCACUUCACUGCUGCCUGCAGCCCGUGGGGGGCCGGGUGCCCUUGGUGACCGGAGGCCUUGCCUUUGCAACCGGAGCCAUGGCCGACUCUGCUGAACUGGGCUGUGGUGCAUCCGUGAAGUGCUUGCGAGUGGAUCGAGCUGCCACUGCUGAACUGGACUGUGGUGCAUCUGUGAAGUGUUUUCGAGUGGAUCGAGCUGCCACUGUUGACCUGUGAACUGAACUACCAGUUUCCAGACGACACAGUUGCUCCAAAGAAUCUUUCUAAACGGG